rnacentral:misc_RNA from 1 species
CAGAGUUGUAAAACUCCCAAACCCAUGUGAAACAUACCUGUUGCCUCGGUGGCCUACCCGGUAGCUACCCUGUAGCUACCCUGUAGUCCGCCGGUGGAAUUCAAAACUCUUGUUUUCAGUUGUCAUCUCUGAGAAUAAAACAAAUAAAUCA